UUCUGGGAGGAUUGACAGAUUGAGAGCUCUUUCUUGAUUCGGUGGAUGGUGGUGCAUGUCCUUUCUUAGAUGGUGGAGUGAUUUAUCUGGUUAAUUACGAUAACGAACGAGACUCUAGCCUAUUAAUUAGGUGCGUGGUUCUCUGCAUCUUGCACCCUUCUUAGACGGACAACCGGCUCCUAGCCGCACGAAACAGGGCAAUACCAGGUUUGUGGAUGCCCUUAUAU
rfam:Ixodes scapularis strain Wikel colony gcontig_1107728800692, whole genome shotgun sequence.